AGUACCAUUAAGCUAAAGCUCAUUGGUGGCACUAGGACAAUUUAAGCAACCAGCAAGAAGCAUUCAAUAGCACGAGUACUAAAAUCCCACAACAAAAUAAGAAUUUUGGUCAAGAUGACUAGACAAGUUCAGAAUAAGGCCAACCUAUGAAUAUCAAUUUUGUUAACAGUUAACAGGACAGACUCGCUGCAUAUGCAAAUUAAUGCCAUGGCUCAGCACACUCAUGUUCUGCAUAUUAAAAUCCCUGUUCCCUUAUGACCCACUUUAAUGAU
rnacentral:misc_RNA from 1 species